ensembl:lncRNA
ACAUCAAAAAAGAAAGAAAAAAAAAACAGUGGGCUUUUACCUCUAACCCUGAUCCGCUGCUCCAGAAACCUUCUGCUAGUUUUACUGGAGAGCUAUUUGGACCAAGCAGCUAUAGUCUGAAUAUUAUCUUUACAACAAAUACACUUGGGCUUCAAAAGGGCGAGACCUCCCUGUAAAUAUGUGAGCAACAUGCAUCCAUUAGUACAUCAACAAAAUGCCCAUCCAGCCCAUUCUCUGUUUGUAUCUUAAUGGAUUGUUGACUACUGUAGACAUUUUGCAGAAACAGUCAGUCCUGCAUUGGAGUCAUGUGCGUUGCUCGGUGGCACAAUGGUGAAUCAGGACGAUUGUGAUCACAGAAAAAACUGGCUCACAUCGUCCAACCUCUGGACCAGCAGCUCUCAUGAGGGAUCACCUCUCCAUGAACAUUGUCUACGUGUCAAGCUUGCCAUGGACACACAUGGCGUGGGAGAUACUUGGGUUGUGACAUUUGUCACAACUGAAGCUGUGUGAUUG